UGCCAGCCGCCGCGGUAACACGGGGGGCGCAAGCGUUAUUCGGAAUUAUUGGGCGUAAAGCGCGCGUAGGCGGCUUUGUAAGUCGGAUGUGAAAGCCCCGGGCUCAACCCGGGAAUUGCAUUCGAUACUGCAUGGCUAGAGUAUGGUAGAGGCAAGUGGAAUUUCCGGUGUAGCGGUGAAAUGCGUAGAUAUCGGAAGGAACACCAGUGGCGAAGGCGACUUCCUGGGCCAAUACUGACGCUGAGGUGCGAAAGCGUGGGGAGCAAACAGGAUUAGAUA
rnacentral:rRNA from 1 species